GGCCAGUGUGGUGUAGUGGUUUGAGUAUUAGAUUAUGACUCUGUAGACCAGGAUUCAGAUCCCUGCUCGGCCA